GAGGGCCGAAGGUGUUGCAGUUAAAGCUCGUAGUCGGAUGUCGGGCUCGGGCAGGCUGUCGGCUUCGGUCGGACGGCAGGCUCGGGUCUUUCUGCCUGAGGAUCCAUCUCAUUCACUUGGGGUGGGGACGCAGGCCGUUUACUUUGAAAAAAUUAGAGUGUUCAAAGCAGGCCUACGCUUGAAUACAUUAGCAUGGAAUAAUGGAAUAGGACUUUGGUGCUAUUUUGUUGGUUUAUGGGACCGAAGUAAUGAUUAACAGGGACAGUUGGGGCCGUUUAUAUUUCGUUGUCAGAGGUGAAAUUCUUGGAUUUACGAAAGAUAAACUUCUGCGAAAGCAUUCGGCAAGGAUGUUUUCAUUGAUCAAGAACGAAAGUUAGGGGAUCGAAGACGAUCAGAUACCGUCGUAGUCUUAACCAUAAACUAUGCCGACUAGGGAUCAGUGGAUGUCAAUUUGCGACUCCAUUGGCACCUUGUGAGAAAUCAAAGUUUUUGGGUUCCGGGGGGAGUAUGGUCGCAAGGCUGAAACUUAAAGGAAUUGACGGAAGGGCACCACCAGGAGUGGAGCCUGCGGCUUAAUUUGACUCAACACGGGGAAACUUACCAGGUCCAGACUGGGUAAGGAUGUACAGAUUGAUAGCUCUUUACAGAUUCUCAGGGUGGUGGUGCAUGGCCGUUCUUAGUUGGUGGAGUGAUUUGUCUGGUUAAUUCCGUUAACGAACGAGACCUUAACCUGCUAAAUAGCGUCGAGUUUCUUCUUGAAACGAAGAUGUCUUCUUAGAGGGACGUCGCGUGUCUAACG
rnacentral:rRNA from 1 species